GGGUUGUGAGGUUAAGCGACUAAGCGUACACGGUGGAUGCCCUGGCAGUCAGAGGCGAUGAAGGGCGUGCUAAUCUGCGAUAAGCGCCGGUAAGGUGAUAUGAACCGUUAUAACCGGCGAUACCCGAAUGGGGAAACCCAGUGUGAUUCGUCACACUAUCAUUAACUGAAUCCAUAGGUUAAUGAGGCGAACCGGGGGAACUGAAACAUCUAAGUACCCCGAGGAAAAGAAAUCAACCGAGAUUCCCCCAGUAGCGGCGAGCGAACGGGGAGGAGCCCAGAGCCUGAAUCAGCAUGUGUGUUAGUGGAAGCGUCUGGAAAGGCGCGCGAUACAGGGUGACAGCCCCGUACACAAAAGCGCAUGUGCUGUGAGCUCGAUGAGUAGGGCGGGACACGUGGUAUCCUGUCUGAAUAUGGGGGGACCAUCCUCCAAGGCUAAAUACUCCUGACUGACCGAUAGUGAACCAGUACCGUGAGGGAAAGGCGAAAAGAACCCCGGCGAGGGGAGUGAAAAAGAACCUGAAACCGUGUACGUACAAGCAGUGGGAGCACNNNNNNNNNNNNNNNNNUGCGUACCUUUUGUAUAAUGGGUCAGCGACUUAUAUUCUGUAGCAAGGUUAACCGAAUAGGGGAGCCGGAGGGAAACCGAGUCUUAAUUGGGCGUUAAGUUGCAGGGUAUAGACCCGAAACCCGGUGAUCUAGCCAUGGGCAGGUUGAAGGUUGGGUAACACUAACUGGAGGACCGAACCGACUAAUGUUGAAAAAUUAGCGGAUGACCUGUGGCUGGGGGUGAAAGGCCAAUCAAACCGGGAGAUAGCUGGUUCUCCCCGAAAGCUAUUUAGGUAGCGCCUCGUGAAUUCAUCUCCGGGGGUAGAGCACUGUUUCGGCUAGGGGGCCAUCCCGGCUUACCAACCCGAUGCAAACUGCGAAUACCGGAGAAUGUUAUCACGGGAGACACACGGCGGGUGCUAACGUCCGUCGUGAAGAGGGAAACAACCCAGACCGCCAGCUAAGGUCCCAAAGUCAUGGUUAAGUGGGAAACGAUGUGGGAAGGCCCAGACAGCCAGGAUGUUGGCUUAGAAGCAGCCAUCAUUUAAAGAAAGCGUAAUAGCUCACUGGUCGAGUCGGCCUGCGCGGAAGAUGUAACGGGGCUAAACCAUGCACCGAAGCUGCGGCAGCGACACUGUGUGUUGUUGGGUAGGGGAGCGUUCUGUAAGCCUGUGAAGGUGUGUCGUGAGGCAUGCUGGAGGUAUCAGAAGUGCGAAUGCUGACAUAAGUAACGAUAAAGCGGGUGAAAAGCCCGCUCGCCGGAAGACCAAGGGUUCCUGUCCAACGUUAAUCGGGGCAGGGUGAGUCGACCCCUAAGGCGAGGCCGAAAGGCGUAGUCGAUGGGAAACGGGUUAAUAUUCCCGUACUUGGUGUUACUGCGAAGGGGGGACGGAGAAGGCUAUGUUGGCCGGGCGACGGUUGUCCCGGUUUAAGCGUGUAGGUGUGUGUUCCAGGUAAAUCCGGUUCACUUUAACACUGAGGCGUGACGACGAGGCACUACGGUGCUGAAGCAACAAAUGCCCUGCUUCCAGGAAAAGCCUCUAAGCAUCAGGUAACAUCAAAUCGUACCCCAAACCGACACAGGUGGUCAGGUAGAGAAUACCAAGGCGCUUGAGAGAACUCGGGUGAAGGAACUAGGCAAAAUGGUGCCGUAACUUCGGGAGAAGGCACGCUGACACGUAGGUGAAGUGAUUUACUCAUGGAGCUGAAGUCAGUCGAAGAUACCAGCUGGCUGCAACUGUUUAUUAAAAACACAGCACUGUGCAAACACGAAAGUGGACGUAUACGGUGUGACGCCUGCCCGGUGCCGGAAGGUUAAUUGAUGGGGUCAGCGCAAGCGAAGCUCCUGAUCGAAGCCCCGGUAAACGGCGGCCGUAACUAUAACGGUCCUAAGGUAGCGAAAUUCCUUGUCGGGUAAGUUCCGACCUGCACGAAUGGCGUAAUGAUGGCCAGGCUGUCUCCACCCGAGACUCAGUGAAAUUGAACUCGCUGUGAAGAUGCAGUGUACCCGCGGCAAGACGGAAAGACCCCGUGAACCUUUACUAUAGCUUGACACUGAACAUUGAGCCUUGAUGUGUAGGAUAGGUGGGAGGCUUUGAAGUGUGGACGCCAGUCUGCAUGGAGCCGACCUUGAAAUACCACCCUUUAAUGUUUGAUGUUCUAACGUGGACCCGUUACCCGGGUUGCGGACAGUGUCUGGUGGGUAGUUUGACUGGGGCGGUCUCCUCCUAAAGAGUAACGGAGGAGCACGAAGGUUGGCUAAUCCUGGUCGGACAUCAGGAGGUUAGUGCAAUGGCAUAAGCCAGCUUGACUGCGAGCGUGACGGCGCGAGCAGGUGCGAAAGCAGGUCAUAGUGAUCCGGUGGUUCUGAAUGGAAGGGCCAUCGCUCAACGGAUAAAAGGUACUCCGGGGAUAACAGGCUGAUACCGCCCAAGAGUUCAUAUCGACGGCGGUGUUUGGCACCUCGAUGUCGGCUCAUCACAUCCUGGGGCUGAAGUAGGUCCCAAGGGUAUGGCUGUUCGCCAUUUAAAGUGGUACGCGAGCUGGGUUUAGAACGUCGUGAGACAGUUCGGUCCCUAUCUGCCGUGGGCGCUGGAGAACUGAGGGGGGCUGCUCCUAGUACGAGAGGACCGGAGUGGACGCAUCACUGGUGUUCGGGUUGUCAUGCCAAUGGCACUGCCCGGUAGCUAAAUGCGGAAGAGAUAAGUGCUGAAAGCAUCUAAGCACGAAACUUGCCCCGAGAUGAGUUCUCCCUGAGACUUAGAGUCUCCUGAAGGAACGUUGAAGACGACGACGUUGAUAGGCCGGGUGUGUAAGCGCAGCGAUGCGUUGAGCUAACCGGUACUAAUGAACCGUGAGGCUUAACCUUACAACGCCGAAG
rnacentral:rRNA from 1 species